GGGCGAGUGGUGAAACUGGCAGACACGCAAGACUUAGGAUCUUGUGCCGAAAGGCUUGCGGGUUCAAGUCCCGCCUCGCCCA
rnacentral:tRNA from 1 species